GUCCCAACAGCCAAUGACUGCAGGCAUUUGCUGUUUGGCAUGAGACCACAAUGACGUCUGUAUUACCAGUAAAAAGUACAGUAUGUUUCUCACCACGGCGCCCCCCUGCGACGUGGAAGCACACCCCUGCCUCUCAAACACCAGCUGCGCAGGGAAGAGGCCGUAUCGGAGGACUGUGAUUGGAUUGGAGGAGCCGGCCAUGUUGCCUGUCAGUGUCUCAGGAUGUGUCCAGCGGCCAAUCGGCAGCCGCCCGGUCGGCUUACCACAGCCACGGCGGAGCUUUGAAGAUAGUGCUACUGGGACAGAACGACGUGGGCAAGUCGUCGCUAGCCUUAUCUCUGGCCGGGCAAUCGGACAGAUCCCUCUCUAUAGACUCUGAGAUGCGAGCAUGUGGUAAAGACCUGGAUGGCGAUUGAUGGAUUUGGAUUUUUAAAUCUGUCUGAAGGGUUACUUUAGAAAUGCUUCAUUCACACACUGCGUUAGCUAAGCUUAACAAUUACUUGUCAAAAGUCAGGUGAACAGAUUGAUACCACUCUGAUGUCUUCAGGCUAGACAUGAGCCUGGAGGUAGCAAUUAGCUAGCCUAGCUUAGCAUAAAACACAAAACAGAUAUUCUACAGAGGUUAUAAAAUGGCUUCUGGUUGCAGAGCCGGGGUAAGCUGAUUGCGCCCUUUUUCCAGUCUUCAUGCUAAGCUAAUACAACAAGCUUCCCUUUGGGUCCCCCUCAUGCAUAAAGCUGACUUGGCCGUGACUCACGACAUACAGGAUUCAUUACUGCCCAUGUUGUACACUUGGACUCAUGCAUCAUAAAUGGAUAGAAAAACUACUUCCUUCCAAGAAGCUUGUGCACUAUUUCCAUCAAGCCAAUUUUUAACAAAGCUGUAAAUUGUUCUAUAAGCUACACGUCAAAAAUUGUAAAGUGUAAAACAUAACAUUUUACUAAAAAUAAACUAAUCAACACCUAUUUAAUUACUGCUUUUACAACAGUUUUCAGCAGAUGCUCUAGCAGCCCCGUGAGUGGGUUAACACCUCACUAAUCAAUACGUGUCCUCACAAAGUAAUUACUGGUGAAAUAUAGUGAGACCCUAUUAACACCAAGGCAUUUGCUGUGCGGUAUCGAUUUCAAGCUGUUAUGGGCUUCUUUAUAUUUUAAAAGCUUCACUGCAGUUAUAGGUAGUUUAUUACAUUUAUCAAGUGAAUUAA
ensembl:lncRNA